GGCAUUAGAGAAGGGGGUACACCUGAUACCUUUUCGAACUCAGAAGUUAAGCCUUUCAUCGCCGAUGGUAGUAUGCACAAGAGUAUGCAAGAGUAGGUCGCUGCCAGCUU
rnacentral:rRNA from 1 species